rnacentral:lncRNA from 1 species
CCAAGAAGAAGAGAUUGAUGUUAGAAAAUUGGGCAGCAAACCGGUGGCAAUAAUCUUCAAGUUCGAUCCCAUGUCACACAUUGAAAGACUCCUAACCGAAUGCGAUCUAGGCAUCAUAAUACUCUUCUGACAUCUUAAAGCUGUCAAUCGCCCGAGCCAACUCCCGCUUGAAAUCCUCUGAAGCCUUAAGGGAUUCCAUGGCUGAGUAGUGGGCUU